GGCCAAAAGAUUGCUGAGAAGGAAUUGACAGAUAGGAAUUGGAAUCAAGAAGAUGAAGCAGAAGAGCUGAGAACGUUCUCAGUGGCCAACGAGGAAGUUUUGAAGAAUAGAGUAAAAAAAAAAAAAGCAACACGUAGAAAUGUUGGGUUUGAAUCUGAUCAGAUAGGGGAUGGGCUUUCAAAGAUUUCAAAGGAUUGGUUGUAUAUUCUGAAAGGAGAAGCAUUUUCUGAAUUUGGUAAUGGUAGUGGAGUAAGCCUUCACAAGGACUGCCAAAUGGAAACAACAAUAACUACUGCCCUUUUCUUCACCAGUCCAAAGGCAGCCAGGAAACCAAGGCAACAUUUCAUUCUAUUACUGUAAUUGAGGAAAAAAUAUUUCAAAUCUUCAAUCUAAUAGCGACAGUCAGUAGCCUCACACUUCUGUUUUUACUAUGAGUAAAUCAUGCCGUGGUAAUCCCUGUACAAGGCAGUUAGCUGCUUUAAACUGUCUGUUCAUGACUGGAUAGUUAAACACUUGAAUGCAAGCCCACUCUAUGAUCUGAAAUCUAUUUUUAAGAACUCUAAUAAAUAUUUAGCAAAUAUUGAACAGCAACAUGGGAACAAUGACCUUAGUAAUUCUGAAAAUGAAGCUAAUAAAACAUUAGCUGAAACGUAGUCUCCUUACCUAUUUAUUUCAACAAAAUUAUAGCAAGAAUCAACAUUUUGGUUUUAUAGCAGCAGAACUGAGAAUACAUCUGUGAGGAAGACGGAGGCUGAGUCUGAAAAAAAAAAUGGACCCAUCAGUAGGAGCAAUAAGUGCCUUCACAAGAAAAUUGAUUGCUGUGUUUUAGUUAGGCUUGUUUAUCUCUGGAUCCCUGAUUGGAUUUUCAUUUUCCCCUGGAAACUCCAGUUUAUUUGGCAAAUAUAUUACCCAGAGUAGUCCAGGGUUUUGUUGUUGUCGUUGUAGUUGGUUUUAACCAUUUUCCAAUAAAACAUUGCAGAGUCAAGCAAAAGGUGGCAGUAAUGAAUGUAAAGAUGGAGACAAAGGAAGAGAAUGAUGAGCCAACUAGAGUAAUAGUUACUGAAGUAAAAGCAGAACUUUUUAUUCUGAAGAGUAUAAUUUUUUUUACAAGAAAGAUGACAAGUUUAAAGAGAAGGAUGUAGGUACCCUUUUCUUAAAAUCUGUAGCAAAUCAGAAGCACAGCUUUUACUAGGAGCAGACACCAAUUUAGGCAAUGUACUGCUGAAUAUUCUGAUUCCACCCAAUUGUUGUGUACUUGAAUAGCAAAAACAAUGUACUUAUUUUCUGUGUUUCAGAUCUACCAAUUUAUGAGAAAAAUGCCAUGAUCUCAGUUAAGAUAUUAAUUUGGUUAAAUCUAAGUGAUUAUGUAGAUGAGUUGCACAAAAUUUUACUAAGGAAAAAGAAUGCC
rnacentral:lncRNA from 1 species